UGUUUGACGUUGUAAACAUCGAUUAAAAUAUCGAUGUAUUUUUGCCAAAAACAUCGAUGUAUCGUGAGCUCCUCUAUUGAUUGCAUCAUAAGGAGUAUUUCAUCGUUAAGAAAUGGCGCUGUUUAGAACUAUGAGCUUGUUCUUACCUGUUGUCAAAGCGGAAGACGAAGAUGAGAUUGUCGAUCCCCAAGCUGCGCUGAGGG